rnacentral:lncRNA from 1 species
CAUUAAGACUGCACGCUUCUGGAGAGAUCAGUCAUCAGCGAAUCGCUUUUCUAUGACACUGGAGGGCUGCAUACCUGCAGCUCUGACCUGAAUUUAUCCAAACUCUAGAGAGAAGUGAACUCAAUGAUGAGUGACAACGGCGGUGGCCAGUACAGGAGUGCGAUCCCGGUGUCCCUCCCCCUCUCUGGGAAGGGUAUAAACUAGGACAUGAUCCCUCUUCCGGUUCCAAUUAAAACAGCUAUAACCCCAUCUCUUCCCCUCCCCUCGAGGUAUUUGUGAAUGGGCCAGAGCCCAACCUGGGGACCCUGGGGGGAAGCAAAUGAUGGGUGGGGUAGAGAGGAUCCCCUCAGCACCUGGCCCCACAGGGCCCCACCAAGUGGAGGGGGGGGAGCCCUGGGGAUCCUCCUUGCCCCCAAGUGAGGUCUGUUAUGCAGCAUUCUUGAGGUCAAUAAAUUACAGCAAUAAAUAGCAAGGUGAGGUAGGGGGAGGGGUUCCUGGUAGAAAAUUAAACUGGGGUGACUGAAGCUGGGGGCAUCCUAGGAAGGGGGGUGGUCCUGGGCAGCCUCAAUUCCCACAGCUCCUACCAUACCCAGUUUGGAAUGUCAGACUGAGGCUCUGGUUAGGUCCCUCUCCAUUCCCUCAUUCCUGGCAUCCAAUUCACAGGUUCAGUAACAAUGGCCCCAAUGUGACUCUGGGGAACAGGACAACCUUGGUCCCUUCAGUGGGGCAUGGCAGGGCUGAGCACCCUGUUAUUCUCAGGCCUGGUGCUUAUAGCUUUUGUCCCCCAAAUCUGGGGGCAGGACGGAUGCAGCACUUGUUCCCUGAGCCCUGCCCUUCUGGCUGCCCAGGCCAGCCCCCCUCCACUCCCAUCAUCAAUCAGGAUGGCCACAGGAGGGGGCAGGGGUCUGCUGCCUGCAAACCCAGCCAGAUCGCACUCCUGCACAGGGGCCUGAAGUCCAGUGAAUACUGACAGUUUGGGGGCAUCAGGCAAAUGGCCCACUGCCCCCCAGUGGUGUUGGACAGGAAACACACCCCCGGCUGUAUGAAAUCGGGAGUCAAUCUGGGUCCAGAGUGCUCAUUUCACAGGCUGAGGUGUAUGGCUAUGCUGCAAGUCUCUGAGAUUCUUAUUUGCUUAAAGGUUCAUCACUUCUUUUUUCCUUUUUUGCAAUCCUGAAGGAGCCCUUGCUGUGGCUCGGUCCAGUGGGAGUGAGCAGUGGCAGAGCCCGGCCUGCCACUUGCCCAUUCACCCCAAGUCUGAGAAAUAAAUACAUUCAUCACUGCACAAACAUAUUGAUACAAAAACAACACUGUUAAGAGUGUUUGCACCGUCUGUGUUGUAAGGAUCAGGCUCAGUAAGCCUCUUCCCCUGCAUGGGGUGGGGGGUGGAAGCCCAGUGGAGUCAACUGAGCUGUGCAAAGGUCUCUGCUUUUUGGCUUGAAUGAAACCUUCACAUCAAUUCACCCCCUAAGUAUCACUGGCAGAGUAGGAGGGGGAGCUCACCUCCACCCUGGGGCCCAAACCCAGACUUAGGUCCUGUCACCAGAGCUGAUUGCCACCCGCUGCUGGCCAGGACUACUGAGGUCCUGGCCAGGAGGCCUCAGGAGCUGAUCAGCACUGGCCUAAGCUCUUUGGUGCCAGCUGGGCUUGGAGAGCCCCCAGGGAUGAGGAUGAAGGCUCAGGUGGAUCCCACAGAGGCUUCCAGCCUCUUCUCCAGCCCUUCUCUGCCCAUGAGCCAUUCCAGGGCUAACUCAGAAGGACCCCCAGCAGAAGAUGAGGAUUCCCUGGGACUGGCCUUACAGCUGUUGAGGUCUGAAACUGUAAAAGUUUAUGUAAACAAUGAGAUAAAUAUAUUAGCAUCUUUUUUUUUUCUGAGCCCAUUGAGGUUCCAUACUCAUUCAAAAUGUGCUUUGGUUUAAAAAUAGGUUUUGUGAAUUUGGGUAUGAGCUUUCCUUUUUUUUUUUUUUUUCUUUUUUCUUCUUCUUUCCUACAGGACAUUGACAUCUGCUAUUUUCUGUUUCCUGUUUCUCCGAAACAUUCAGGAAUUAAGUGACUAAAGCAGAGAACUGUAAGCCGCCUUGGCCUCCUACGGCCUAAUUUCCUUGUGAGGCUCUUAACAUCUCCACACAUACGUACACACAAGCACGCACCCAACAUGGAAUCAAAGGAAAAGAAAACAAAACUAAGUGUUGUGUCAACCCCAUCCCGCCCCACAAACCCUUAAAAUCUUAAAUAGGAAACUAGUGUUUUGCUUUCUCAAAAUACAGAAAAGGCUUGAUACAAUACUAAGGUGGGUACAAUACUAUGUCGCAAAGACAUCGUUGAGUGAGGGGGCUUUGCUCCCAGUCCCUGAAGUUCUGCAGAGGAAUCACCUACUUUCGAGUCACCUCACAGAUGCAGCUGCCCAUGGCCCAGGAGGCCAUGCAUGAGGCCAGGGGCGUGCACAAUUCCCAGGCGGUACAGACUUUGUGUCGUGUGGCUUAAGUGCUGAGAGUUGGGGUGGGGUAAAAGAGCAGGGAGUCUUAUAUGGCCCCACUCCCUCCCUGAGUGAGCUGGAGCCCAGGGGUCUCCUCCACUCAAGUGCUCAGCCUGACUUGCUGAAACUAAAACCUAGGGUCCAAUUCUCUGUCUCCCACCCAAAGAGAAGAGGAAUUAGCUCAGGGCUGGAGGCACCACAUGGAGGACUCAGCCAGGAGCCCUAAUGUGGCCAGAGCUCCCUCACUCCCAAGAAUACACCGUUCACCACUGGGUCCCUGAACUCAGGCUGUUUUCAGCUGGAGGGUCUCUAGAGAAGUGGGGUAAGGGAUGACUCUGGAGUUAUUUGGUCUGAACUUAAAAUCAAAAGAAAACUGACAAGAAAUGCAUGAAGCAAAAUGAAUAUAAAGCCUGCUGGCCCAGCUCUGACUCCAGUUAGCCAAGGACAUAGGACAGAGCAUGGUGACCUUGGUCUGGCCUUGAGCCUGGCUUGGCCCAUGGAGGUGUUUGAGGCUGGCUGAGAAGUCUGUGUUGAGGAGCAAAGGGUGGGACUCCAGAAAGGGCUGAGCCCCUGGGUGAUGGCAAGCCUCUUGCACUGGGGGCCAGGACUGCUUGAGAAGUGCUAAUCCUGUUCCCCAGUGCUUUGGUCAGCUCUUCCUUGCACCUCACUGGGUAAGAGGGGGCUACUGCUCUCCCAAGCUCAAAGCUAGGGCACAGGAUGGGUGGGGGCUCACUUCCGCCUCAUCCUGGCCCUGCCAGGGAACUGUCCAGAGAUGCUUCCUCCUCUAAGNCAACCUUGGUCCCUUCAGUGGGGCAUGGCAGGGCUGAGCACCCCUGUUAUUCUCAGGCCUGGUGCUUAUAGCUUUUGUCCCCCAAAUCUGGGGGCAGGACGGAUGCAGCACUUGUUCCCUGAGCCCUGCCCUUCUGGCUGCCCAGGCCAGCCCCCCUCCACUCCCAUCAUCAAUCAGGAUGGCCACAGGAGGGGGCAGGGGUCUGCUGCCUGCAAACCCAGCCAGAUCGCACUCCUGCACAGGGGCCUGAAGUCCAGUGAAUACUGACAGUUUGGGGGCAUCAGGCAAAUGGCCCACUGCCCCCCAGUGGUGUUGGACAGGAAACACACCCCCGGCUGUAUGAAAUCGGGAGUCAAUCUGGGUCCAGAGUGCUCAUUUCACAGGCUGAGGUGUAUGGCUAUGCUGCAAGUCUCUGAGAUUCUUAUUUGCUUAAAGGUUCAUCACUUCUUUUUUCCUUUUUUGCAAUCCUGAAGGAGCCCUUGCUGUGGCUCGGUCCAGUGGGAGUGAGCAGUGGCAGAGCCCGGCCUGCCACUUGCCCAUUCACCCCAAGUCUGAGAAAUAAAUACAUUCAUCACUGCACAAACAUAUUGAUACAAAAACAACACUGUUAAGAGUGUUUGCACCGUCUGUGUUGUAAGGAUCAGGCUCAGUAAGCCUCUUCCCCUGCAUGGGGUGGGGGGUGGAAGCCCAGUGGAGUCAACUGAGCUGUGCAAAGGUCUCUGCUUUUUGGCUUGAAUGAAACCUUCACAUCAAUUCACCCCCUAAGUAUCACUGGCAGAGUAGGAGGGGGAGCUCACCUCCACCCUGGGGCCCAAACCCAGACUUAGGUCCUGUCACCAGAGCUGAUUGCCACCCGCUGC